ensembl:lncRNA
AGAGAGAGAGGGAAGACGCUCUCUGCGAGCCAGAGAGAGCGUCAUAAGAGCUGGAGACGCACGGAAUGCAAACGGAACGUUGUCCUUUUGUUCCUUGACUUUGUGUUUGUUAACCCGAAGGUGGAAAUAAGGGGGAGUUCGCUCCAUUUCCUCAAAGAACUGUGUCCUGACUCGGCUGAACUCGUUACACUGGAGCCCAACUUGGGGCGGAGUCAAUUAUGGAUCGAUUGUCAUUGGCCAGUGUCCUCAGACACCUGGCACAAACCGCGGAGCGUCAGACCCAGCUGCAGCAGCCCCAGAUCGAGGUCCUGGUGGAGCUGGCCCGCUCCUUCGCCACCGACCGGGAGGCCAUGCGGGAGCUGCUCGGCUCCGGAGAACGCGGCGGGGAAACCCGACCAUGGCGACAUAUAUAUGUCCCCAAGAUGGGGGAGGCAGACGACCCAGAGGCCUUCCUGGAGACCUUCCGGGGGGGGUGGCCGAGGUCUCAGAGUGGCCGCCGCAGGAGUGGGCCCACCGUCUCCUGCCUCUGCUGACGGGAGAGGCCCAGCUUGCGGCCCACAGCCUACCAGCGGCGGCCCAGAUGGACUUCGACACCGUCGCCAGGGCUAUCCGGGACCGGUUGGGCCUAAACCCGGAGGAACAUCGCCGCCGGUUCCGGGCCCUGGCCUUCACCGUCGGCGACCGGCCCUUCACCUACGCCUAGCAGCUGUUGGACCAGGCGAGGAGGUGGCUGGGCCUGGAGAGGUUGGUCGAGGGGCUUCCGACCAGAACAUCAACCUGGGUCCGGUACCACCAGCCCGGGAGCCUCUCGGAGGCCGUCAACAUCGCGGAGGGCCACCUGGCUCCCCCUCUGUCGGACCGACGACCGCCGAUCCCGAGCCCGCGGACCGGUGCGGCAGCCCUGCAGCGGGACAGGCUCACCGCAUCCCGCAGACGGGCACUCAGACGGCAGGGGAGGUGUGUUGGCGGUGCGGACGGCCGGGCCACCUUCGGCGGGACUGUCCGUUGAUGGAGGCAGACGCGUCGGAUAGGGGGUUGGGCGCGGUCCUGACCCAGCAGGUGGAGGGGACCGUCCGUCCGGUGCUGUACCUGAGCCGCAAGCUGUCGGACCGCUAGGGUCGCUACAUCACGUCAGGGGUUGAGAGAGAGAGAGGGAAGACGCUCUCUGCGAGCCAGAGAGAGCGUCAUAAAAGCUGGAGACGGACGGAAUGCACACGGAACGUUGUCCUUUUGUUCCUUGACUUUGUGUUUGUUAACCCGAAGGUGGAAAUAAAUGGGAGUUCGCUCCAUUUCCACAAAGAACUGUGUCCUGACUCCGCUGAACUCGUUACAACAUAAUACUUGCAU